AGGGGAAGCCGGUGCGAGUCCGGCGCUGCCCCGCAACGGUGAGCGGUGGCGCCCCCGUGCGCCCCGCACAGCCCGAUCACCU
rnacentral:misc_RNA from 1 species